rnacentral:tRNA from 1 species
AAGAUUUUAAGUUAAUUUAAAACUCUCAACCUUCAAAGUUGAUAAUAUAAUAAAUAAUAUUUUUAAAUCUUA